rnacentral:rRNA from 1 species
CCUACGGGAGGCUGCAGUGAGGAAUAUUGGUCAAUGGACGAGAGUCUGAACCAGCCAAGUAGCGUGAAGGAUGACUGCCCUAUGGGUUGUAAACUUCUUUUAUAUGGGAAUAAAACGUUCCACGUGUGGGAUUUUGUAUGUACCAUAUGAAUAAGGAUCGGCUAACUCCGUGCCAGCAGCCGCGGUAAUACUGAGGAUCCGAGCGUUAUCCGGAUUUAUUGGGUUUAAAGGGAGCGUAGGUGGAUUGUUAAGUGAGUUGUGAAAGUUUGCGGCUCAACCGUAAAAUUGCAGUUGAAACUGGCAGUCUUGAGUACAGUAGAGGUGGGCGGAAUUCGUGGUGUAGCGGUGAAAUGCUUAGAUAUCACGAAGAACUCCGAUUGCGAAGGCAGUUCACUGGACUGCAACUGACACUGAGGCUCGAAAGUGUGGGUAUCAAACAGGAUUAGAUACCCCAGUAGUC